AUUGAACGCUGGCGGCAGGCUUAACACAUGCAAGUCGAGCGAGAGGCGGACGGGUGAGAAAUGUCUGGGAAACUGCCUGAGGGAGGGGGCUAACUACUGGAAACGGUAGCUAAUACCGCAUAACAUCAGAUGUGACCAGAUGGGAUUAGCUAGUAGGUGGGGUAAUGUCUCACCUAGGCGACGAUCCCUAGCUGGUCUGAGAGGAUGACAAGCCAAACUGGAACUGAGACACGGUCCAGAAUCCUACGGGAGGCAGCAGUGGGGAAUAGUGCACAAUGGGCGCAAGCCAGAUGCAGCCAUGCCGCGUGUAUGAAGAGGGCCUUCGGGUUGUAAAGUACUUUCAGCGAGGAGGCGUUACUCGCAGAAUACGCACCGGCUAACUCCGUGCCAGCAGCCGCGGUAAUAC
rnacentral:rRNA from 1 species